GCGCGUGUCGCUCCUCAUCCUCUCCCGCACCCCCCUCUCUCUCUGCCGCAAUCGCCGCGCCUCCUCCGCAUCGGCGCGACCGCGCGUCAGGAUCCCGAUCACCCACAACCAUAGCGCCCGCCGAUCGCCCAUCGCCGCCUCGACGAGUCGCCUCGCGUCGAUCUCCUUGGCGCCACCACCGACCCCGCGUCGAUCUCCUCCGCGCCCCCUUCUAUGGCCAGAUCCAGAUCGGCGCCGAGCCCCCGCCACCAACGACGGCACCCCGGCAACCUACUCCUCGGCCGGCGGCGCGGAUCGUCGCCAUCACCACAGCUCGCUGAUCUCCUCCGACAACGCGAUGCCUUCACUCAGCCGCUGCUGCCGCCAGGGAGGCGACGCCCCCACCGAACCACGCCGGGACACUGACGCCCACCUCGCUGAUCCCCUCCCAUCCUCUGCCGCUCCCCUCGCGCCACCGACGAUCUCCGCCUCGACGACCGGCUCUGCGCCGUCACUCCUCGCGAUCCCCUCCCGUCCUCCUCUACGGAAACCCUGAUAUCUCCUUGACCUUCUCCUUGCCGCCACCGAUCUGCGUUGCUGAAUCAACGUUGCACACCUGGCCGGUCAUCAAUCUCCGCCGACCGCUGCUGUUCCCCGCCGGAAGCUCCACCGCCGCCCCGCACAGAUCAACGUGUUGCUGUCCCCGACACCUCAAGCUCCACCGCCACCCCUCCGCCGCUGCCCCCUUCUCCACCACUCCGCCACCGGCAAACAUUAAAAAAAGAACAACUGCUUUCAAGGGUGGCACCUCGCCAUUGUUUCAGACAACAGCUUCGCCGGUGAUUGUCCAUUCCCGUAUCACUUCGGACGGUUGCUUCUAUCCCUCACAAUCUCAUUCACUGAAUUCAAGGCACAACCAAAUUCUUCACUGCUCCCUUUUUUAACUUCGCUAUGGGAUCUGAAGUUUUUAGUUUUUUUCAUAAUGCCGUUUCUAUUUUGGAUUGUUCAGAGAUAAACCUUACUUGAAUUCAGAAGAAUUUAGUUUUUAGAAAUUAACUUUUUAGUUUAUAGGUUUGGAGAGAUGAACCUGACCUGAAUUCAGAAGAAAACCAACUUAGAAAACAUGCAGUUGCGUGUUGCUAAGAAAACAUUACCUGAAUUUAGUUUAGAAAACCUUACCUGCAUUUAGAAAUCCCUAAUAAAACAUGCAUUUGCGUGUUGCUAAAUUAUGCUUAGCAUCCUAAUACAUACUGAAAAAUGGGCAACAUGAUGAUGCUGUUUUACCACCUCCUGAUAUUUUUUAUUUUGCACUGUGCAUUCAGAACUGAUAUUUUAGUUUCAACUCCCUGUGUCACCUUCAGGCGUCAUCGGUGCAGAUCAAGCAUUCUAGCCAUUGUGAUAUGCUCUUUCACUAAUUUUAGUUUCUCUCUGAUUUUUCUUUUAACAAGAUCCAGUGAUUUAUUUCAAAAUUGAAAGCCUCGAAUUAUUUGAAUCUUCAAAUAUGAAGAAACAUGGACAGUCGUUCUUUCUUUAGCAAGGCACAAGAAAAUUCAGAUUCUACAUAACCUAGGCCAUGACAGGGCAUCACAUUUCUGAUUUAGUUGUUUGCAUGCUGGUUCCAACUGAAAAAAAAAAAGAUCUACCUUGUUUACAAUGAUGAUAUGCAAAAGUUCAAUUCGGUCUGUCACAUUAGUGAUAAAACAAAUCUGUCUACUUGGUUUGUGAGGUUGACACCUGGUGACAAUUCUGAUUAACCUUUUCUGAUUGAGCACUUGAAGAGAUAAUACACAAAAAAAGUUUUAUUUUAAACAGCCAAAGUGUAUGUACUCAGUCUCUUCAAUUUCCUAGCUGUACUAAAUCCUGUAUUAUGGUAUUUGGAUGGAAUUUGUGACUUAUAUUUUGGGUUCAAUAUUAAUUGUGCCCAUUGCUUGCGUGGUCAUCUGCUGAGGAGUACAUGCUGUUCUUGUGCAUGUGGAUGAGAAGCUGCGUGGAUGGAUUCAUGUGGCUGUUGGUUGCUCCAACAGUUAAAACUGGUGCUUGAUGUUGGUAUGGGUUCUUGACAAACCACGGCAUGACUAGGUGGCCCGUUGAGCUUGUCUCGGAUCUCAGUAGAAUUGUGUUUUCUCAAUUUGGUCCUGUCACAUUCAAAAAAUAAAAGAUAGUUCAGUCUAUGAAUGCACCAUGGAGUUGAUAGUGAACUGUACUAGAUUAGGAGUUUGCUAUGACUUAGUUUGGUUGAUUAUGAGGAUUUUUAUUAGUGAUUCUUCUCUUUCGGAAUAAAUACAAAUCAACCUAGCAUCUUCCUGUACAUGGGUUUAACUGUGUGACAGGAAAAUAUUAUUCUCCUUCGCGAAUCAUUCAAAGUUACUGCAUAUAACAAUUUCUACUGCUCCCAGAUUAGAGCAAUAUUGGCAAAAAUUAGAGCAAUGCAAACUACAGGCAAAAAUCAGAGCAUAAUUGUCCUUCUUCAGUUAUUAAUGUGCAAAAUUUAUUUAUGAACAUGUUUAUAUAUUGAAUCUUUCUUCAGUGGCCUGUUUGCAUUGAGUAUGACCAGCAAACAUUGGUUUUGGGUUUUGUAUAUUGUUUACUAUGGUAAUCCUUCUGAACUUAUGGUUUGAAUUUUAGGUUCUUUUAUCGAAGGUGAGCUUCUUUGCCUCUCAAGGAUCUGAUGUUGCGCAAGAUAAUGUGCUUGGGUUAUACAAGCAGAAUUGCUGUCAUAUGCAUUCUUUUGCACAUGAAAGAUCAUCCUUUUGCAUUUCAUGUGGCCUGCAAUGAUUUAUUUCGGGUGUGCUGCUAUACAUUGCCGAGUGGAACUCACUCCAGCUGUCCAGCGCCUGGUGGCGUCUGUCUUCCUCGCCAGUUUACAGCUGUCCUUGGGGAAGACCGAGCUGAGCUGCAGUAGGAAGAGCUUCUUGCCAGCUGACCUAGGCAAAUUCGCCAAGCUGCAGGUAACACUUCAAACAAGUAGAUCAGUCAUAACCGUCUGUGCUUCAGAGAAAUGGACAAGUUCAGAAUCGGGAAGACUAAUUUAGAGAGAACAGAGAUUUUCAGACUUCAGAACUUAGAUGUGAUCACUGAGCAGAGUUCUGUUUUUGCUAGGCUGAUUACACUGUUCUAUUAAAAUGGAAGUUUUUGAAUUGUCAAUAAUCUCCUACAAGUUCUUCUGUUUAAGGGCGAUUAUUUCUGGAGUGCUUCUAUAUGGUUUGUUCAGCUCUACCUUAGUGAAAGUACCUGUCGUCUCUGAUGGCGGAUAAUUAGUGAAAAUACAUUCACUUCUUUUCCAUAUAACGUUCAAAAUUCCUGCUAAUUAUUG